AUUGAACGCUGGCGGCAGGCUUAACACAUGCAAGUCGAGCGAGCGGCGGACGGGUGAGUAAUGUCUGGGAAACUGCCUGAUGGAGGGGGAUAACUACUGGAAACGGUAGCUAAUACCGCAUACCAUCAGAUGUGCCCAGAUGGGAUUAGCUAGUAGGUGGGGUAAUGGCUCACCUAGGCAACGAUCCCUAGCUGGUCUGAGAGGUUGACCAGCAACACUGGAACUGAGACACGUUCCAGACUCCUACGGGAGGCAGCAGUGGGGAAUAUUGGACAAUGGACGCAAGCCUGAUGCAGCAAUGCGGCGUGGGUGAAGAAGGCCUUCGGAUUGUAAAGCACUUUCAGCGGGGAGGCGUUACCCGCAGAAGAAGCACCGGCUAACUCCGUGCCAGCAGCCGCGGUAAUAC
rnacentral:rRNA from 1 species